ACAGCAGAGUCAUGAAGGUUCUGAGAAUCUAUUGCACAGUUCCACUGGGGAAAGAUUUGACGCUUCAGCAGCUAACUGCCUAGGGCAGAAUCAGGAAGACCAUACACAUCAGAAGGGAGGGAAAUCUACAAUGGAAGAACAAAAGGAAGAUCAGCUAGAUUAUGAGCCAGAGAAAGUGGAAAUCUUCAGAUUGGCCCAGUCAAAGAAGAACAUUAACAGUUUGAAUAUGGACCUUGAAAGGGAUAUGCAGAGAAUAGAUGAAGCAAAUCAGGACCUUCUUGUCAAAAUCCACGAGAAAGAAGAUGAGAUUCAGAGGUUGGAAAAUGAGAUCACUCAGACCAGGGACCUGGCAGAGGAUGAGGAGUGGGAGAAGGAGAACAGUGCCACGAUGGAAAGGGAAAGAGCCUUGCAAGAGGUGGAAGAAGAAACUGCCAGACUGGAAAGGAAGAAUGAGACCCUGGUCCACAACAUAGCAGAACUUGAAAGAAAGCUUACAAGGAAAUCUCAAAAGGCAACAAAGUGUGAACAAGACAACCUAAAGGGAACCCCAGAAGAGUCAAAGGUUAAGUUACAACAACUGGAAGCUUCCUGUGUGGACCAAGAGAAGAAGCUGGCCAAGGUAAUAGAAGACUAUGCAUUUGUGGCCCAGCUCUGUGAAGAUCAAGCUUUCUGCAUAAAGAAGUACCAGGAAACUUUGAAGAAAAUACAAGAAGAACUAGAAACUCGAUUCCUUGAGAGAGAAGUGGUGAAGAGAAAGAGACCCAAACUGCAUAAAGCCUCUAAAUAAGCAGGCACACAUGGUGGCCUGGUGUCCAAGGCACUGGGACCCAGAGGCUCUCACCCUUAAAGGACACCUUCAAGUCUCCCAAAAUCCUUCCUGAGCACUAGGUCAAAAGUUAUGUGCAUGAACUCCACAAGCAAAAAGUAUAACAGCCAAAAUAACAAGGAUAACUCUCUCCAAAAGAAGAAAGCAGGGUUCUAUAAAAGGAUUUUUCAAUAUUUCUUUUUCACCACCCUGUUUUUCAUCAGACUGCUGGGCUACUUGUUGUUCCAUAUAAGUUUUAUAAAUCCAGAUCUCUUUGUCAACAUACUGCCCAAGAUACUGAGCAGGAACAUCUUGUGGAAGCUAAGAUGUUUCCUCUUCCCAUCUCUCACACUUGAGACAGAGGACAUGUUACCCCACUGACCCCCAAGAAAUAUCCUUGAGCAAAAGAAGACAAGUAGCAUCUGAGUCCAUAGACUAGGAGACACGGAACUUGUGGAGGGAAGAGUUUUUCUUCAGUUUUUCCCUUGAGGUUUGCCUACUUCAUUACCAUCCCUCCUUGCACUGUCUUUCCAAGAUUAACCUUGUCCAGUAAAGAGCUCUGUCAAUGGA